rnacentral:snRNA from 1 species
GGAUAUGGGAGGAGAAUCUGGCUACAACAUCUGUCACCCCAUUGACCACCAGGGUUGAUUUACCUGACCUGGCUGGCUAGACAGGUGUCCCCUUCCACGUCACCAUUCCACGUAUGUGCAGCCUUCCUUCCAGAAGGUGCAUGCUCCAUUGAAGAGGGUGGUUUUUCCCAUAAGAAGACCAGUCUUCGGUCAAAAUCAUAAGAGUAGCCGCGCUCAAAAGCCCACACUAGACCCAGUCUGUCUCUUCUACCUGCUUAU